AUUGAACGCUGGCGGCAGGCCUAACACAUGCAAGUCGAGCGGGGUUUUCGGACCUAGCGGCGGACGGGUGAGUAAUGCGUAGGAAGCUACCCGAUAGAGGGGAUACCAGUUGGAAACGACUGUUAAUACCGCAUAAUGUCUACGGACCAAAGUGUGGGACCUUCGGGCCACAUGCUAUCGGAUGCGCCUACGUGGGAUUAGCUAGUUGGUGGGGUAAUGGCUCACCAAGGCGACGAUCCCUAGCUGGUUUGAGAGGAUGAUCAGCCACACUGGAACUGAGACACGGUCCAGACUCCUACGGGAGGCAGCAGUGGGGAAUAUUGGACAAUGGGCGCAAGCCUGAUCCAGCCAUGCCGCGUGUGUGAAGAAGGCCUUCGGGUUGUAGAGCACUUUCAGUAGGGAGGAAGGGUGUUGUGUUAAUAGCACAGCAUUUUGACGUUACCUACAGAAGAAGCACCGGCUAACUCUGUGCCAGCAGCCGCCGUAACAC
rnacentral:rRNA from 1 species